rnacentral:rRNA from 1 species
UACGUAGGGUGCAAGCGUUGUCCGGAAUUAUUGGGCGUAAAGAGCUCGUAGGCGGUCUGUCGCGUCGGCUGUGAAAACCUGGAGCUCAACUCCGGGCCUGCAGUCGAUACGGGCAAACUGGAGUACUGCAGGGGAGACUGGAAUUCCUGGUGUAGCGGUGAAAUGCGCAGAUAUCAGGAGGAACACCGGUGGCGAAGGCGGGUCUCUGGGCAGUAACUGACG